GACAGAGGGGGCAAGCGUUGCUCGGAAUUACUGGGCGUAAAGCGCGUGUAGGCGGCCAUCUAAGUCGGGCGUGAAAUCCCACGGCUCAACCGUGGAAGUGCACUCGAAACUGGAUGGCUAGAGUCCUGGAGAGGAAGGUGGAAUGCUUGGUGUAGAGGUGAAAUUCGUAGAUAUCAAGCGGAACACCGGUGGCGAAGGCGGCCUUCUGGACAGUGACUGACGCUGAGACGCGAAAGCGUGGGGAGCAAACAGG
rnacentral:rRNA from 1 species